rnacentral:rRNA from 1 species
GACGUAGGGCGCGAGCGUUAAUCGGAAUUACUGGGCGUAAAGCGUGCGUAGACGGUUAUUUAAGUCGGGUGUGAAAGCCCCGGGCUCAACCUGGGAAUUGCAUUCGAGACUGAAUAGCUAGGGUACGGUAGAGGGAAGCGGAAUUUCCGGUGUAGCGGUGAAAUGCGUAGAUAUCGGAAGGAACAUCAGUGGCGAAAGCGGCUUCCUGGACCAGUACCGACGUCAGGCACGAAAGCGUGGGGAGCAA